GACGAACCGUGCGAACGUUGUUCGGAAUCACUGGGCUUAAAGGGCGCGUAGGCGGGUCGAAAAGUCCGUGGUGAAAUCCCCCCGCUCAACGGGGGAACGGCCGCGGAUACUGUCGGCCUCGAGGGGGGUAGGGGCGAGCGGAACGCUGGGUGGAGCGGUGAAAUGCGUUGAUAUCCAGCGGAACUCCGGUGGCGAAGGCGGCUCGCUGGACCUUCACUGACGCUGAGGCGCGAAAGCCAGGGGAGCAAACAGG
rnacentral:rRNA from 1 species